rnacentral:rRNA from 1 species
CAGCACCUCAAGUGGUCAGGAUGAUUAUUGGGCCUAAAGCAUCCGUAGCCGGCUCUGCAAGUUUUCGGUUAAAUCUGUACGCUCAACGUACAGGCUGCCGGGAAUACUGCAGAUCUAGGGAGUGGGAGAGGUAGACGGUACUCGGUAGGAAGGGGUAAAAUCCUUUGAUCUAUUGAUGACCACCUGUGGCGAAGGCGGUCUACCAGAACACGUCCGACGGUGAGGGAUGAAAGCUGGGGGAGCAAACCGGAUUAGAUACCCGAGUAGUCC